UACGAAGGGGGCUAGCGUUGCUCGGAAUGACUGGGCGUAAAGGGCGCGUAGGCGGUUUGGACAGUCAGGCGUGAAAUUCCCGGGCUUAACCUGGGGGCUGCGCUUGAUACAUCCAGGCUUGAGUGGGGAAGAGGGUCGUGGAAUUCCCAGUGUAGAGGUGAAAUCGUAGAUAUUGGGAAGAACACCGGUGGCGAAGGCGGCGACCUGGUCCUUACUGACGUCUGAGGCGCGAAAGCGUGGGGAGCAAACAGG
rnacentral:rRNA from 1 species